UACAAACAGUAGAAAUAAGUUGAAUAAUUUUUUAUAUAAUCAAAUCCCUGUAGGGUUGAAACUGAGUUUAAAUGGGGAUUCAGAAACGACUCACAAACAACCCUAAUAUCUUUACAAACACCUGCAACAGCGAUUUGUAAAGAAGCAAGGAAGAAAUCGCAAAUGAUGAUAAUAGUGUAAUCACAAUUACAGAAAGGGCAACAACUGCUACACUUAUAGGAUUUUACGUCCGUCAUGAGUGAUACUUUAAGCACCGCCAAAAGUCCUCAUGGUAAUCAAUUCAAGUAAAACCGAAGAUGAUCUUGAAUCUAUAAAUGUUUACUCAAGAAGUUGCAAAGGCGGCUACUUUGUAUUUAUAAAAAAAGUGAGUAGUAUAUGGUGAC